rnacentral:lncRNA from 1 species
AAAAUAUCAAUCUCCUCCAAUUCCAAAAGGGAUUCUUCAGGAUCCGUUGAGGAAUACCAAACACUAAUAUUUUUUUCAAUUCUCUUUACGAGAACGAAGUUUGUUUCGAUUUAUAGCCCUCUUAAUCUAUCAAGGGUCUUUCUUGUUUGAGAAUUUCUAGGAAAUCUCGAAGAGAAUCCCAUGUUAUUAUAUCGAUCCUUCUUUAAUUUAUUGUUUUAAACUUCGUAAAAUUUCUAUAAUUACCGAAUCAUUUCAUCUCUUCUUCUUUGUUACUAAAAGUUUUGCAAAUUUCUCGAGCAAAUCAGCAGCAAUUUCGAUCCCC